rnacentral:rRNA from 1 species
UACGUAGGGUGCGAGCGUUGUCCGGAAUUACUGGGCGUAAAGCGUGCGCAGGCGGUUUGUUAAGUCCGUUGUGAAAGCCCCGAGCUCAACUUGGGAAUUGCAGUGGAUACUGGCAGGCUGGAGUACGGUAGAGGAAGGUGGAAUUCCCGGUGUAGCAGUGAAAUGCGUAGAGAUCGGGAGGAACACCAGUGGCGAAGGCGGCCUUCUGGACCAGUACUGACGCUCAUGCACGAAAGCGUGGGGAGCAAACAGG